rnacentral:rRNA from 1 species
UACGAAAGGUGCAAGCGUUACUCGGAAUCACUGGGCGUAAAGCGCCCGUAGGCGGACUCGCAGGUCAAUUGUGAAAUACCUGGGCUCAACCCGGGAACUGCAGUUGAAACCGCUUGUCUUGAAUACCUGAGAGGGUGGGGGAAUACCUGGUGGAGAAGUGAAAUUCGUAGAGAUCAGGUGGAACACCGGAGGCGAAGGCGCCUGCCUGGCAGUGUAUUGACGCUGAGGUGCGAAAGUGCGGGGAGCAAACAGG